CCUACGGGAGGCAGCAGUAGGGAAUCUUCGGCAAUGGACGGAAGUCUGACCGAGCAACGCCGCGUGAGUGAAGAAGGUUUUCGGAUCGUAAAGCUCUGUUGUAAGAGAAGAACGAGUGUGAGAGUGGAAAGUUCACACUGUGACGGUAUCUUACCAGAAAGGGACGGCUAACUACGUGCCAGCAGCCGCGGUAACACGUAGGUGGCAAGCGUUGUCCGGAUUUAUUGGGCGUAAAGCGAGCGCAGGCGGUUCCUUAAGUCUGAUGUGAAAGCCCCCGGCUCAACCGGGGAGGGUCAUUGGAAACUGGGGAACUUGAGUGCAGAAGAGGAGAGUGGAAUUCCAUGUGUAGCGGUGAAAUGCGUAGAUAUAUGGAGGAACACCGGUGGCGAAAGCGGCUCUCUGGUCUGUAACUGACGCUGAGGCUCGAAAGCGUGGGGAGCAAACAGGAUUAGAUAUCCUGGUAGUCCACGCCGUAAACGAUGAGUGCUAGGUGUUGGGUCCUUUCCGGGACUCAGUGCCGCAGCUAACGCAUUAAGCACUCCGCCUGGGGAGUACGACCGCAAGGUUGAAACUCAAAGGAAUUGACGG
rnacentral:rRNA from 1 species